UUUUACAAUGAAGAGUUUGAUCCUGGCUCAGGAUGAACGCUAGCUACAGGCUUAACACAUGCAAGUCGAGGGGCAGCAUGAUUGAAGCUUGCUUCAAUUGAUGGCGACCGGCGCACGGGUGAGUAACACGUAUCCAACCUUCCGUACACUCAGGGAUAGCCUUUCGAAAGAAAGAUUAAUACCUGAUGGUAUCUUAAGCACACAUGUAAUUAAGAUUAAAGAUUUAUCGGUGUACGAUGGGGAUGCGUUCCAUUAGGUAGUAGGCGGGGUAACGGCCCACCUAGCCUACGAUGGAUAGGGGUUCUGAGAGGAAGGUCCCCCACAUUGGAACUGAGACACGGUCCAAACUCCUACGGGAGGCAGCAGUGAGGAAUAUUGGUCAAUGGACGAGAGUCUGAACCAGCCAAGUAGCGUGAAGGAUGAAGGUCCUACGGAUUGUAAACUUCUUUUAUAAGGGAAUAAAACCUCCCACGUGUGGGAGCUUGUAUGUACCUUAUGAAUAAGCAUCGGCUAACUCCGUGCCAGCAGCCGCGGUAAUACGGAGGAUGCGAGCGUUAUCCGGAUUUAUUGGGUUUAAAGGGAGCGCAGACGGGUCGUUAAGUCAGCUGUGAAAGUUUGGGGCUCAACCUUAAAAUUGCAGUUGAUACUGGCGUCCUUGAGUGCGGUUGAGGUGUGCGGAAUUCGUGGUGUAGCGGUGAAAUGCUUAGAUAUCACGAAGAACUCCGAUUGCGAAGGCAGCACACUAAGCCGUAACUGACGUUCAUGCUCGAAAGUGUGGGUAUCAAACAGGAUUAGAUACCCUGGUAGUCCACACGGUAAACGAUGGAUACUCGCUGUUGGCGAUAUACGGUCAGCGGCUUAGCGAAAGCGUUAAGUAUCCCACCUGGGGAGUACGCCGGCAACGGUGAAACUCAAAGGAAUUGACGGGGGCCCGCACAAGCGGAGGAACAUGUGGUUUAAUUCGAUGAUACGCGAGGAACCUUACCCGGGCUUAAAUUGCAAAGGAAUAAUCUGGAAACAGGUUAGUCUUCGGACCUUUGUGAAGGUGCUGCAUGGUUGUCGUCAGCUCGUGCCGUGAGGUGUCGGCUUAAGUGCCAUAACGAGCGCAACCCUCGCCGCCAGUUACUAACAGUUAAAGCUGAGGACUCUGGCGGGACUGCCAUCGUAAGAUGUGAGGAAGGUGGGGAUGACGUCAAAUCAGCACGGCCCUUACGUCCGGGGCUACACACGUGUUACAAUGGGCGGUACAGAAGGCAGCUACCUGGCGACAGGAUGCCAAUCCCUAAAGCCGCUCUCAGUUCGGACUGGAGUCUGCAACCCGACUCCACGAAGCUGGAUUCGCUAGUAAUCGCGCAUCAGCCACGGCGCGGUGAAUACGUUCCCGGGCCUUGUACACACCGCCCGUCAAGCCAUGAAAGCCGGGGGUACCUGAAGUGCGUAACCGCAAGGAGCGCCCUAGGGUAAAACUGGUAAUUGGGGCUAAGUCGUAACAAGGUAGCCGUACCGGAAGGUGCGGCUGGAACACCUCCUUUCU
rnacentral:rRNA from 2 species